AAGGUAGCAAAAUCAAUUGUUCAUUAAUUGUGGACUGGUAUCAAUGGCUUGACGAUAGAAAAACUGUCUCUUUCUACUUCCUUGGAACUUUAUUAAAGAGUGAAGAAGCUCUUAUAAGUUAGCGGGACGAGAAGACCCCGUUGAGCUUUAGGUGCUUAAAUUUACUUGAAAGUUUAUCACUUUUGGUUGGGGCAACCGAUUUUAAUAUUAAACAAAAAUAAUCAAAAAAUGAAUUAAAUCUUAUCUUUAAGCCUUAAUUUUAAGAAAAUAUAAUAAGUUACCACGGGGAUAACAGCGUAAUUUUUUUUGAGAGUUCUUAUUGACAAAAAAGUUUGCGACCUCGAUGUU
rnacentral:rRNA from 1 species